UCCUCGGUAGUAUAGUGGCAGUAUCCCCGCCCGUCACGCGGGAGACGGGUUUCGAUUCCGCCGGAGAG